rnacentral:rRNA from 1 species
CCUACGGGUGGCAGCAGUGAGGAAUAUUGGUCAAUGGACGGAAGUCUGAACCAGCCAUGCCGCGUGCAGGAAGACGGCUCUAUGAGUUGUAAACUGCUUUUGUACAAGGGUAAACCUGAAUACGUGUAUUCAGCUGAAAGUACUGUACGAAUAAGGAUCGGCUAACUCCGUGCCAGCAGCCGCGGUAAUACGGAGGAUCCAAGCGUUAUCCGGAUUUAUUGGGUUUAAAGAGUUGCGUAGGUGGCAUAAUAAGUAGCUAGUGAAAUCUGGUAGGUCAACCAUUCAGACUAUUAGCGAAACUGUUAAGCUAGAGACCGUUAGGGGUAACAGGAAUUUCUAGUGUAGGGGUGAAAUCCGUAGAUAUUAGAAGGAACACCAAUAGCGAAGGCAGGUUGCUAGGACGGUUCUGACACUAAGGCACGAAAGCGUAGGGAGCAAACGGGAUUAGAUACCCGGGUAGUC